UUAGUGAGUUCAAACAGACAAACAAUUGCAGUUUUAUUAUAGUAUAGAUAGAUAGAAGAUAGAAGAUUAAGGGCCGGAUUCACAGCGUUUAGUUAAAUCAUUGUUAACUUAUAUUACGUUCAAAUUGGCCCCAUUUAACUUGUUAAAUGAAAAAGAGCAUUUUGUAAAACACAAUCGUUCACAUUGAAUAUUUGGUGUUAAUUUUAACGGUUGCAAUGCGAAUUC